UCGUGAUACAAGGCUCCCGUUCUGGGAUGAAGAGAGGGCGGGGUUUAGUGGGAUGGGCGGGGAAGGAUAGGCCGACCUUCGACGUUAUGGGUGGAGUAGUGUUGGGCGUGGCUAGUGCGGGUAGGGAUGCAGCACUGAGCAAUAGUCAGCGGUCGCAUCGCCCCAUAUUGGCGGCCGUGGCGAGAGCUGGUUUUCAGAUUUGUAAAGCUGAAAUGCUCUGUGAUUUGGGCAAAGCGUUCAACAAGCAACUGGAUAUUCUUCAGAAGUGAUGAAGGCUUUGAUGUUGGCAAACAAGAGUUUCCUCGGUAGCAACUGUCUGAUCUUAAAAAAGGCUAAAAUAAAACCAAAAACUGUGAAUGCUGGAAACCUAAAACAAAAACAGAAAUUGCUAGUGAAACUCAGCAACAUCUAUGUUCUAUACAUAAAAUGACCCUGAGCUUCCUGCUACCUGCCACUUCAACACACCAGCAUGCUCCUUGACGAACAUUUGUGUCUUAGGCUUGCUGCAGUGCUCCAGCAAAACUCAGCACAAGCCACAAGAACAGCACUUCAUAUUCCGCUUGGGAACCCUGCAGUCUUCAGGACUCCAGCAGGGAAUUCAAUAAUUUUGGGGCCUGAGUACUUUCUUCCAUGUCCUUUACCCACCUCCACACUCCAGGCCUUGUCAUUGCUGUUUUCAGCAAGCAAACCCAUUUUCACUGAUUUAUUGUCCCUAUUAUCAGCUUUAUUUGUUCCCUGGCACACCAUUAUCCACCUUUCUCUCCAUCUGGGCUCUGUCUCCACCUAUUCUCUCAGUCCUUUACCCCCACACACUGUUUUCAGCAUAUAUGUCAUCUAUUCCUUGCUACUACUUGUGGUGAUGAAGGGUCACUGAGCCUGCAACGUUGACUCUGCCUGCUCUCCAUGCUGUCAGACCUGCUGAGUUUCUCCAUCAAGUUCUGUUUUUGUUUGAUCUUUGUACCUUGGGCCUUUGAAGAUUGAACAGAUUGCUGUCUAUCCUGAAUUGAAUAUGUACUCCUGUGUCAGAAUCUUUGGGUGCAUGCAAAGCAUAGCCUGAAAAAGUAGAUGGCGAACAGAACAGGAGCCAUUACAUAGCUUUGCUUGGUGCCAGAAAAGACAGCUGAUAAGGCACCAUCAUGUAUCACCCAUACCAUCAUGAAAUGAGUGAAUGGCCCUGCUGAUUUUUUUCACAGAAGCCAUGUUUAGACCUUCAACAGGCCUUUAAUGUUUAUUGACUCAAAAGAAUUGGUGAGCUUAAUGAAUAUCAUGAUAACAUGGAGGCAAUUGUUUUACACAUAGCAUUGUUCACGUGUAACGUGAAUUUCCUGAGGGUGAUUUCCAGUAUUUUUCUAUUUACUAGUCGCUGAAGUUUGCUGACACAUGAUCUGAAUUUCAGAUCUAGAUCAGAAGUCCAUAUAAACAGGUAAAGUUGUAAUUAUUUUCAGCAAUAAAGUAGACUAAAUUGAUCUACUUUCCAAACCAGAGUGAAUGGAAUUGUGUAAUUCCACUCUUGACGAGACCCAGACUCUAUUCUAAAGAAUUUGAGAAAAAUACACUUGGCUAAAUUUUCUAAAUGUAUAUCCUCAAUGCAGAGCUUCACCUGACUAAAACACUGAUCAGGAAAAUAUGAGCAAAUAAUUCUCAGUUUGGAUAAAAGAGGAUUAUUGGGAACAUGCACACAACUCUUGAGGCAUUUCAGCUGCAUAUCCUCAGCCACCAAACGAUGACAAUUAGAAAUGUUAUUUAUUGUGUUAUUCUAUUAGGUUCUCCCAAUUUUCUGACCAACAUUUAUCUUUCAACCCAAGCCUAAAACAGAUUUCCUGCUCAUCUGUUUGGUUGCUGUUUGUGGGAAGUAUAUGCAUUGAAUACUGUGUUUUCUACAUUACAACAAUGAUUAAAGUUAAAAAUAGUUCAUUGAUAUGAAGAACUGUGGGAAGUACCGAGGAUCUGAAAGAUGCUGCAUAAAUAAGCCUACUUGAAGGAGAAUUUUUAAAAGUUUAUCAUAUUCUUGGUGUGCACUCUAAAACUGCAUUUUCAAUAUUUUCAAAUCCAACUACAGGUUCUAAAGAUGUUUUUAAAAAAUAACAAAUUUUCCUUAUUGUGCUGCCUCUGGAUUAAAAGGCAUCAUUACAAAACGAAUAAUCAACAUCCUCAAUCAAUACUCACUGUUAUUGAAGAUGUUACCUACCUAAUUCAUAUACAGUGUAGAGUGCUGUUUUGAACUGAACGUGUAGAAAGGCACUGAGAUAAUUCAAUACAAAUAAAACAAAAGCGUCACUACAAUUGCCCCCCAGGAGGAGAGGAACAAUGGCCCAUUGAAAGAGCUGUAUACAAAAUUUUAAAAAAUACUCAUAAUCCAUUUUGCACAAAUAAUAUAGUUGAGCUCCUGCAGUGCCCAUGAUUCAAUAGUUUUCUGUUCCAAUCUAGGCUCAGUGUUCUUUUUGCUUAUGUACUUUAGUUUCAAUUAUUUCUUUGUCAAUGUGUGUAUUUAGCUUUCUUACUCAUGAUCAAAGAAUAAACAACUUUCACUGACAA